UUUAGUACGGGAAAUUGAAGAAGCACAGGAAUAUAAUUAUGGAAAUGGGAAUAUGAAGAUCAGCAUCAGAGAUUGAAGGGCAUCAGCUGGUGCAAUAUCUGGGAGUGCAUGCUACGGUGGUUUUUCCUCUUCAGAUUGUAAUUGGUCAUCUGUGCGGUCUGGCUUUCUUUGAUACUUUUGUGGAAGAUGGAGGUAAAAGUUGGAAAGGAUCGAUGGCUCUUUUCUUGUCAAGAUAUGGUGGAAACAAACAAUGAGAUUAUUCAGAUA